rnacentral:rRNA from 1 species
UACGGAGGGUGCAAGCAUUGAUCGGAAUUACUGGGCGUAAAGGGCGCGCAGGCGGUCGGGAAAGUCAGAUGUGAAAUUCCGGGGCUCAACCCCGGAGCUGCAUUUGAAACUUCCUGUCUAGAGUUCAGUUAGGGAAAACGGAAUUCCACGUGUAGCGGUGAAAUGCGUAGAUAUGUGGAAGAACACCGGUGGUGAAGACGGUUUUCUGGGCUGAUACUGACGCUGAGGCGCGAAAGCAAGGGGAGCAAACAGG